rnacentral:rRNA from 1 species
UAUAUAUAUAUUAAAAAUAGUUAUAAAAAAAAUUUUUUUAGUAUUAAUUUAAGAAAAAAUAAAAUUUAUUAUAGUAUAUUAGUAUUGAAAAAGAAAAUUGAAAUAUUAUGAAAAAUUUAAAUAUAAAAAGAAAAAUUUAAUUUUUGUACCUUGUGUAUCAGGGUUUAUUAAAAAAAAAUUAUUAAAAUUAAUUUUCUCGAUUUUAAAAGAUUUAAUAUAUUAUAAAAGUUAAAGUAAUAAAUUUAUUUUAAAUAAUAUAUUUGAAAUGAAAUGUUUUUCGUUUUUAAAGGUAUCUAGUUUAUUAAGAAAUAAAUUUAAUUUAUUAAUUUUAUAUUAUUUAAUUAUUUAUAUUAAUUGAAUAAAUAUUUAAUUAAAAUAUUUUAUGGGAUAAGCUAUAAAAUAAAUUAUUAAAAAUUAUUUAUUAAUUAUAAAAUAUAGGGUUAAAAUUAUUCAUUAUUAAUAAAAAUGUAAUAAUUUAUUAAAUAAUAUUAAAAAUUUUUAAAAUUUUAAUUAUUUAUUAAUAUAUAAUUUAUAAUAAUAAAAAAUAAGAAAUAAUGAUAUAAUUAGUAUAAAUUAAUUUAAAAAUAUAAAAUUAUUUUAAAUUUAGUUAAAGAAUUCGGCAAAAAUAUAUAUUCACCUGUUUAACAAAAACAUCUCUUUAUGAAUAAAAUAUAAAGUUUAACCUGCCCACUGAAUAUUAAAUGGCUGCAGUAUAUUGACUGUACAAAGGUAGCAUAAUAAUUAGUUUUUUAAUUGAAAACUGGAAUGAAUGGUUGGAUGAAAUAUAAACUGUUUUAAUUAAGAUUAAUUUGAAUUUUAUUUUUUAGUAAAAAAGCUAAAAUUUAUUUAAAAGACGAGAAGACCCUAUAAAUCUUUAUAUAAAAAUUUUAAUUUUAAUUAUUUAGAUGAUUUAAUUAAUUAAUAUUUUUAUAUUUUAUUGGGGAGAUAGUAAAAUUUAAUAAACUUUUAUUUGUAAUUUCAUUAAUUUAUGAAUUGUUGAUUAAUUUUUAAUGCAUAAUAAAAUAAGUUACUUUAGGGAUAACAGCGUAAUUAUUUUGGAGAGUUCAUAUUGAUAAAAUAGAUUGCGACCUCGAUGUUGGAUUAAGAAUAAAUUUAGGUGUAGAAGCUUAUAAGUUUAAGUCUGUUCGACUUUUAAUUUCUUACAUGAUCUGAGUUCAAACCGGCGUAAGCCAGGUUGGUUUCUAUCUUUAAAUAUUUAUAAUAUUAUAGUACGAAAGGAUUUAAUAUUAAAUAAAUAAUUAUUAAAUAUAAUGAAUAUUAUUAAUAUAAUAAUAU